GUGGGGAAUAUUGGACAAUGGGGGGAACCCUGAUCCAGCCAUGCCGCGUGUGUGAAGAAGGCCUUUUGGUUGUAAAGCACUUUAAGCGAGGAGGAGGCUACCGAGAUUAAUACUCUUGGAUAGUGGACGUUACUCGCAGAAUAAGCACCGGCUAACUCUGUGCCAGCAGCCGCGGUAAUACAGAGGGUGCAAGCGUUAAUCGGAUUUACUGGGCGUAAAGCGCGCGUAGGUGGCCAAUUAAGUCAAAUGUGAAAUCCCCGAGCUUAACUUGGGAAUUGCAUUCGAUACUGGUUGGCUAGAGUAUGGGAGAGGAUGGUAGAAUUCCAGGUGUAGCGGUGAAAUGCGUAGAGAUCUGGAGGAAUACCGAUGGCGAAGGCAGCCAUCUGGCAUAAUACUGACACUGAGGUGCGAAAGCAUGGGGAGCAAACAGGAUUAGAUACCCGAGUAGUCC
rnacentral:rRNA from 1 species